AAUGCACUGAGACUGGCCCCCAGCAGCUUUGGAAAAUGGGAGGGAAAUGCGUCUGUGGCUUCAAAACAUGUUACAGGGAAGAGGAGGGGACUCCAGAUUGCUUUUGCUCUUGGUGCUUCACAGGUUGUUAUCAAAUGGACCCUGCCAGACUGAAUUUCUUCCUGCAAAGAGGACAGUCCAGAAAAUAUGACACAAAUUGUGAAAAUGGUAUACAGCAGCUCAGCUUUGGGAAACGUGAGUCCUGUCUGCUUAUGGAUGUAUCGAUUCAUGGGUAUUACACUUGUCUCCCAAGUUGCUUGCUGAUGCUUUCAAGGUCAGGUAAUAACAUUCUCCAAGGAACUAAGCGGAGUGGCUGUCCUCAUUUCUCCCCUGACCUGCAGGCUGGCUGGCUGGUUGCCUUGCUUCUGGGAGAUGGCCAGGCAGCCUGUUGCUCCCUGUGCCCCUCACCGACCAGGCAGCUCACUCCCUUUGUGGCAGCCUCAUGUCAAAACCCAUCAGAAUAAGAGACUAUUAAUGAGGAUGGGAAGAGACAGAGAAAAGAGGGAAACACCACAGUAAGAUAAAAACAGAUCAAUAGUGAAGCUAAACAGAGCAAGAGGUUCUGAAAGCAAUUCAGGAGCUGUUAGCUUCUCAACAAACACAGGGUUUCUGAUAAUCUCAGAUGGACACAAAAAGGAGAGAGAUGGACAAAAAGCCAGAGAAGCACAUCAAUGGAAAGCAAUAAGGAGG
rnacentral:lncRNA from 1 species